rnacentral:tRNA from 1 species
GUAGGUAUAGUUUAAUUUUAAACAUUAGAUUGUGAUUCUAAAAUUAGAGGUUAAAAUCCCCUUACCCACC